UUCCGACUGGUACGUCAACGCGUCAAGAGUCAGAGCCAGCAGUCUAAAUCGCGUUAUUUUUACCCUAUCAACCCUCGCGCUGAAUCUUAGGUAGCUGCCGGGCUGGAGUGACUCAUAAUGGGCGUGUCGAGAGAAGUGGGAGGAUGGGGAGAAAUGGGACAAUCAAGAUCAGUGACAGUUGGGUGGAAAGAGAGGAAAUAGCUACUGUGCUUGAAUCUGAAAGUGCGGCAAGUAAAGUGUGUGACAAUUAAUGGAAAAUAGUGGAAUCAAAGAAUGGAACAAAACGAGCAAAAGUUGCAGUAGAAGACAAGGACCUGUCCAAUAAUGCUUUUCUUAUUGGACUGUGUUUUUUGGACAAGGAGAUUUAUUUGGAAAAUCCAUUUGUAAUAUCGAGGACUGUGAAGAAAGCAGUGGAUUGAAUCAAGAGGACCUGAGCCCUAGGACCAUGCCCCAGGACUACCUGACAUGAUGACUCCUUGCUGUCCCCAGUCCACCUGGCCAUGCUGCUGCUCCAGUUUCAACUGUUCUGCCUUACUAUUAUUCGACCAUGCUGGUCAUUUAUGAACAUUUGAACAUCUUGGCCAUGUUCUGUUAUAAUCUCCACCCGGCCCAGCCAGAAGAGGACGGGCCACCCCACAUAUGCUCUCUCUAAUUCUCUCUUUCUUUCUUUCUCUCUCUCGGAGGACCUGAGCCCUAGGACCGUGCCCCAGGACUACCUGACAUGAUGACUCCUUGCUGUCCCCAGUCCACCUGGCCAUGCUGCUGCUCCAGUUUCAACUGUUCUGCCUUGUUAUUAUUCGACCAUGCUGGUCAUUUAUGAACAUUUGAACAUCUUGGCCAUGUUCUGUUAUAAUCUCCACCCGGCACAGCCAGAAGAGGACUGGCCACCCCACAUAGCCUGGUUCCUCUCUAGGUUUCUUCCUAGGUUUUGGCCUUUCUAGGGAGUUUUUCCUAGCCACCGUGCUUCUACACCUGCAUUGCUUGCUGUUUGGGGUUUUAGGCUGGGUUUCUGUACAGCACUUUGAGAUAUCAGCUGAUGUACGAAGGGCGAUAUAAAUACAUUUGAUUUGAUUUGAAAAGCAGGUUGAUUUUGUUUAGUUAAUACAUUUUUUAAAAUAGUUUGUAUGAUAUUUGAUUUAUUUGACCCACAUUAUUUCGUUUUUUGGGAUUCUUAUUAUUCACCUGUACAGUUGGUGGUGAAAUGCACAUGAAAUUGUUGCGAACUCCAUUAUACCAUAGAAGAAGAAGCAUUGACAAUUGGGAUAAUUUGUUGCCAAUCAAUGCAAUUUUUGGGUCUGCUUUGGCCGUUGUGUUUCAGACUUUCAGUGCGUGUUCUUUGGCAGAGAUGACGGUAGGUAUUUUAGCUAACGUAACAUUUUGCUGUUCACUUAGAGCUCUGUAUUUGGUAUAACGUUAGCUAGCUACUAGUAUCUAAACCAAAUCAAAUGUUAUUUGUCACAUGCACCAAAUACAACAAGUGUAGACUGUACUAUGACAUGCUUACUUUACAAGCCCUUAACCAACAAUGCCGUUAAAUAAAUAAAGUUAAGAAAAUA